rnacentral:tRNA from 1 species
CUUUAAAUAAGCUAUAUAAGCUAUUGGGCUCAUAACCCAGAAAAGGUUUUCCUUUAAAGA